rnacentral:rRNA from 1 species
GUGGGGAAUCUUCCGCAAUGGACGAAAGUCUGACGGAGCGACGCCGCGUGAGUGAAGAAGGCCUUCGGGUCGUAAAGCUCUGUCAUCAGGGACGAACGGCCGGUGGAGUGGAAAGCCACCGGAUUGACGGUACCUGAGAAGGAAGCCACGGCUAACUACGUGCCAGCAGCCGCGGUAAUACGUAGGUGGCAAGCGUUGUCCGGAAUUAUUGGGCGUAAAGCGCGCGCAGGUGGGAUCUUAAGUCCAUUUUGAAAGUUCGGAGCUCAACUCCGUGAUGGGAUGGAAACUGGGAUUCUUGAGUACCGGAGAGGAAAGCGGAAUUCCCCGUGUAGCGGUGAAAUGCGUAGAUAUGGGGAGGAACACCAGUGGCGAAGGCGGCUUUCUGGACGGUGUCUGACACUGAGGCGCGAAAGCCAGGGGAGCGAACGGGAUUAGAUACCCGGUAGUCC